UCUUCAACCUAGAGAAAUAAUCAUCUAAGCCAAGUAUUUGGAGCUACUCCGAUUUCCCAUUCCACCUAUGGUUAUUCACUUUCUCCAUGUUACUAAUUUUUAUCUAAUGCAAUUAGUUCCAAAUGUCAUACAGUCGAUAUGCGUUGUCACCAUGCAUGUCGCGCUUUAUCAUCUUCAUAUAUCAAUUCCCAACAUAUUCUGUUGCUUCUCCAAAACCGUCGUUUCAGCCAAUUCAGAGUGACCUCACUCUAAUUUUUACCUUACGCCUAUAAAUAACUGAUAAUUCUUCUAUGGUCUUCCGUCUACCAAUAGUGGUUGGGAAGAAUUCCUUUUUGUCAUCGGAGGUAACUGGUACCCCCGUAUGUACCCAACGAUAUGCUCCCUCUACCAAGAACUUUUACUCAAGAAUUGGAUUGACCCUCCUCUUGUUCCUAGGAUUCCAAGCGCGAAGAACGUUUCCUCUCCUGUGGUAUCAUUCAUCUAUCCCACGACGAGGCCAUCAACAUCAACCAGAUUUACAACAUCGAUCUGCUUGAUCAUAUGGCUCGUCUUUGCUUUCCCCAUUCUAUUGAUAGGUGGGCGAAAAAUUAUAUGGCAUGUUAAGAUAUUGACAAAGAACACGAAUAUUUUGAAAUUUAUAAAGAUUGCAUACAAAAGUAUUGCAAAAAUCUUUCUGUUGUCUACCAUACACCAAUCACUUCAGACAUUUUGAAAAUGCUUCUAGAUGGUUUAAAGAGCAUUUCAGUAACUAAAGAGAAGAAAACACAGUCGCGCUCUACCUCCUCAAGACAAAGUCCCAAAGUAUCUUCUUCCAUAACUACAGAUUCCAUUGGAAAUACUGAAAUGGAGGACCUAGGUGUUAUUCCCUUUCCGUCGGAGGCCACUUCCACUUCUCCAACUCUAGUUGUUGAGGUUUAUCCUCGGCCUAUCAAUACCAAGUUCCAGAAUAUUUUAUUCUGGCUCCAUCUCCAAGUUUUACAUGAAAAAGAAAGAUGUCUGACACCACUUCUGCUAUGAUUUCUAAGGUCACAAAGAGUGUUUCUGGAAAGAGCUCUACUCAACCAACUGAACAAUCUGAGUUGAAUGUCAUUGUCGAGCUCACUCCAUUGACUUGAACUGGCAUUGAUGUAGAGCUCAAUCCCAUAACAAACUCUGUCGUAGCUACUACACUGGUUUCAACACUUAACACAGGUGUGACUGCAGAGUUCAUUCUGUCCCCAACUUCUCUUCUACCUUCUUCCGUAGCGUCUGCUCAUACCAAAUCUUUUUUUUCGAGUUAUUCAAUUCAAUCAAAAGAAAUGUGGACAAAAACCGUUGCUUUUCCCAUGCUCUUAGCUCGUAUAAAGAGUGUUUUAGAAUCGUGCUGAAAUAGCUCUGCAAAAUCUUGCUCAGAUGCAUUUCCUUUGCCACAAGUUUUCUGCCCUGUUUCUUGUUCUGCCCCCAUUUCUAGUUCUACAAUAGUGACUGUCCCAUUAACUGAAGUUAUCGUUUCCACAAAACAAAACCCCUAUUGUAACUAUGAUUUGUUUGUCUUUUUGCCCCUAUGUCAAACAUCUUCUCCCACCGUGUUAGAGCAAACAUCUUACUGCUACUAUAAUGAAUACUCCAACAUUCCUUCUAAUUGGCUCUAGCAUCAGUCCUUCUAAACCUUUCUUUGAUAAUAUUUAUGACUUAUACUUGUCACAAGAUUUCCCUGAUUCCCAAAGGUCGAAAAGCUCAACAUCCAUUACUUCCCCAGAUGUCACCUGAUGAAACUGCUCCUAUUAUCUCUUCUAGGAAUUCGACAAUUCAACCUUUAGCUCCAGUGGCGACCUUAAGAAAGAUUGUUCCCAACAUUGAGAAGAAUCCUGAUGCCAACUUAAUUCUUCCAGCAGCUCAAACCUUCACCCAUUGCCCCCAUUUGCAUCUGAAAAAUUACCUUCAUUGGGUGCAAAUACUAGUAGUAAAGGUGCUGGGAUGAAUGUUGCUAUCCCGCCGGUGCCCAUUCUAUCUGGGGGUUAUCCCAUCACUGAUACUCAACCAGGGCUGUCAUUCGUUUUGUCAGUAGUGCUAAAUCAUGCUCGCAAAAAAUUCCCACCUAAAAUGUUGCACAAUACUGACUUCCUAAGUGAAGAGUUUAUGCCUUUGAUCAUGGAGGAUCAAAUUACUAUAGUAAGUUUAUUCAUGCUGUGAAUAUGUAUACUAGCUCUUUGAUGAUUCUACUCAUCUAGUAACCACGAAUUAAAUUGCCGCUCCAUGUUUUGUGUACAACUUAAUUUCCUUAAUCAAAAUUUAGCAACAUGUUUUACUACCAUGUUCCAAUAGAUGGAGAGUCUGUAUCAAACUAUGCAGAACACAUUGAUGGCACAUCUUUUUAAUUCUCAACGAGCAUUGGAAAUAACUAAAAAAGAGCUUAGUGAGAUUGAAGAAAAUCAUGUUGAGACUGACGAAAAUUGUCGAAAAGGCAUGACUGAUCUCCAUGGAUAUCUGAAUUUAGCAUGCAGUGGGGUGAAAGAAUUGGAAUUGAGUCUUGCUGCAAGAAAUGAAACCAUUUCAAAGAUUGAAGAGGAAAAAUUAUCAUCCAAAAAAGCAUUGAACGAGAAGAGUACUGCAAUAUUGUCUAUUGAGGAACAAUUAAAAGGAAAAGAAACAGAAGUGAAGACUCUUCAAGAAGCACUAUCCACUUCCAAAUUCGAAUUAGAGAUCGCUCAGAAUGAAUAAGCUUCCUCAAUUUCCAACUUAGAAUCCACUCUUGCGGAAGUGAAAACUCUGCUAACUACUGCUGCCAAAGAGAUUACUGCUUUGAGACAGUACGCAUCAGUAAUCGACAUAAAGAAGAUAGAGCACUUUCUCGGAUAAACAAAAUUGACAUUGCUUUCUAUUUGGAAAACAUCAUGAGUCGAGAUGAUGAGAGCAAAGAGAGCAAACUUCGUUAGAUGGAAACAUUCUGCUACACCCAUAAUAUUGAGAUUGACAAGUACGAAUAUUUCCAAUACGAGAAGAGUCUUGGUGACACCUCCAUUGCUUACCCUGUUGAGUAUUUGGAACGGUUUAAACGUGAAGGUAAUGCUCUUUGAUCGAUCUACCUGUCGUCCGGAGAACCUAUCCCCACUACUGAGGAUGUAAAUGUCUGUGGUAGCAUAACAAUCAGUGACCCUACCCUGCCUUCGAGGUCAAAUGCUAACACUGAAGCAGCGAAACACUCGACAUCUACAGUUGCUGCCCAUGCUGCCGAUUACAGACAAACUACUCCUCCUGCAUUUUCUUUCUCAAAAGGAGAUGAUGGUACUAGAAUCCAUUAGCAGUUCCUUUGCUUUGUAUGGUCUAGUUUCUUUUUAUGUUUUGCUUUUGAAGGUCAUUAUGUUCAUUUUGUAAAGGAUGCAAAAUAUUAUGCUCGAUCUCCCCCACCCUUUUUUUCCUUUUAUUAGUCUGACUUCUCUAAUUGAGUUAUUGCACUUCAUACUA